ACUCUUGGACAGCCUUCUGAAAGGAAGAUUAAUACAAGAUGGCAUCAUGAGUCCGCAUGUUCACAUGAUUAAAGGUAUUCCGGUAGACGAUGGGGAUGCGUUCCAUUAGAUAGUAGGCGGGGUAACGGCCCACCUAGUCUUCGAUGGAUAGGGGUUCUGAGAGGAAGGUCCCCCACAUUGGAACUGAGACACGGUCCAAACUCCUACGGGAGGCAGCAGUGAGGAAUAUUGGUCAAUGGGCGAGAGCCUGAACCAGCCAAGUAGCGUGAAGGAUGACUGCCCUAUGGGUUGUAAACUUCUUUUAUAAAGGAAUAAAGUCGGGUAUGGAUACCCGUUUGCAUGUACUUUAUGAAUAAGGAUCGGCUAACUCCGUGCCAGCAGCCGCGGUAAUACGGAGGAUCCGAGCGUUAUCCGGAUUUAUUGGGUUUAAAGGGAGCGUAGAUGGAUGUUUAAGUCAGUUGUGAAAGUUUGCGGCUCAACCGUAAAAUUGCAGUUGAUACUGGAUAUCUUGAGUGCAGUUGAGGCAGGCGGAAUUCGUGGUGUAGCGGUGAAAUGCUUAGAUAUCACGAAGAACUCCGAUUGCGAAGGCAGCCUGCUAAGCUGCAACUGACAUUGAGGCUCGAAAGUGUGGGUAUCAAACAGGAUUAGAUACCCUGGUAGUCCACACGGUAAACGA
rnacentral:rRNA from 1 species